AAGCAAUUAUCCAGAACGAGGAGGAUAUUAACUACCAAAAAAUAGUUUUCGGCAAUUUCAGAUACUUCGUUCAUGUUCAAAGCCCAAUUAGAACUCAAUUUUUUUCUUAAAUCUCUCACUGUGUAUUUCCCAGACACACCAAAAUGUCCUUUAAUCGCCUCAAA